CACGUAGGGGGGCGAGCGUUGUCCGGAUUCAUUGGGCGUAAAGGGCGCGCAGGCGGCCCGGAAAGUCGGAUGUGAAAACUCGAGGCUCAACCUCGAGCGUGCACCCGAUACUGCCGGGCUUGAGGCAGGUAGGGGAGAUCGGAAUUCCUGGUGUAGCGGUGAAAUGCGCAGAUAUCAGGAGGAACACCAAUGGCGAAGGCAGCUCGCUGGGACGAUACUGACGCUGAGGCGCGAAGGCCAGGGGAGCAAACGGG
rnacentral:rRNA from 1 species